AAAUCCUGUAUCUCUAAUUUUGGGGCUGCUUAAUUUGGGGUCUGCGUACCCCUAGCAGACCCAGCUGGCUGAAUAAAGUGUGUGAUUCCUAUGACUCACUGAUUCCUGGUGGUCCAUGUGUCUAUCGGGGGCUGGCAGGUACAACAUUUGGAGGCCCCAGCGAGAUCUCAGGGAGUGGCCCUGGGAUCUAAGACCGGAUCAGCCUCCGAAGCAGUUGCUGUCCCUGUUACGGAUUCAAAGAGGUAGCCAACCUGAGAUGUUCCAGGGCCCUUAAAUGCUGUGACAGGUCUGUACAAUUGUCAAGGAUGCAAACUUUAGGACACACUCUUUGUUCCUGGUCCCAACGGGAAUCUGGAAUCUCUGAGGCCUCGGUGUCUGGAUAAAAGGUAUACACUCGAAGGAGGAAAACGGACUCUAUCCCGGCAGAGGAUUGAAGCCAUUCUUCAGAUUCUGGUACCCACCACCAAGAGACAGGCAUACAGAAACAUACACCAGCCUAGAGUGAGAA